rnacentral:lncRNA from 1 species
CCGGGCAUCUUCUUCAGUAAAGAUUAUAGAUUCUUCAGUCCUCUGCCGCUUCGGCGGUCUGACCGAUCCACUGACUGCUCCCCGUCGGGGUCCUCCAGAGAUGGUGUUGAUGAUCCCAAUUGGAGGCCGAUCUUCAGGUUGUUCUUUCCUCCUUGGUGGCUCUGGUUGUGGUAGGGUCCUUGGCCGAUCUUUCCUACCUUCAGACCGACG